rnacentral:lncRNA from 13 species
GGGGCCCAUGUUCCAUGUGUGUGUUCUCUCCAGAUGAGCGUCUUUCAGGAGACGGUGUGCAGGCUGAGGGAGUGUGUAGAGGAGGCCCAGGCCAGCAGCAAGCAGGGGACCAGGGACACAGCAGCAGCACAACACAGCCUCAGAGAGCUGAGACUGGAGCUGGCCUCCACCCAGGCUUCCCAUAGAGAGAGCAUGGAGCUGGUGCGUGCCCUGCUUACACACAGGUACUCUGUCAGGCAUGUAUUGAAAAUACUGACGUUAAAACAAUGACAUUAACUCUCAACUUGUUUUAGGUUAAUGACAGUGGAGGAAAUAAUGUGUAGUGGGACUAACAAUGUAUAUUUUGUGUGGAUGUUUGUUUUGUGGUGUGCGGCUGUGGUGUGGUGGUACUGGUCAGCUGGCUGAGCAGAGUGGUGAGGCUGCAGGUCUACGUAGUGAGCUGUCCCGCCUGCAGCAGAGGAGCUCCCAGCUGUCAGAGGAGAGAGGGGGCCAGGAGGAGAGGACCAGGCAGCUGGCUGCAGAGCUCCACAGACUACGUACUACCAGCAGACACUGGACGAGACUCGGUCCUGUGAGGGCAGGCUGGCAGAGCUGAGUGCCUAGCUGGGGAGGUCUCAGUGCUGGGGCCAGGAGAAGCUGGUAGCCCUGGAGAAGGUGGUGUUGAUUAAGGUGGAGAUGGCUUCUCUCAGGGAGAACUACCAUGCCAAGGUGGCCCAGGUCAGACACACACUUACACAAUGGGUUCUGGGGACAUUCUGGUAGGGUUUAUGACUAAGGAUAGGAGGUUUUGCUGACCAUGUGACCUGAUCAGGAAAAACUCUGGGCCCUUAUAAUAGCCGGAAGCCUUACUGCCUAACUGUGUAACUAGGCCCAAAGUUUUCCUGAUCAAUUGAUGUGCUCAUGAAAACCUCUUGGCUCUAGUUAUGACACAUAUCCUCACACUUUGCACUGGCACAGAAAGGCCAAACAGCAUAGUUAGUAAUCACCUCUCAAUGAAAAAUGAGCUGUAUAGCCAUUACAAUGUGCAGCAGGGGUUUGUUCAUGUGUCUCUGUUCAGGUGGAGGCCUUACACUCACAGCACGAUUCCAUGGAGCACAAGUACAGCACAGCAGCUAAUGAGGUAGUGAACCCUUAAAAUCUCCAGAUAUGUCAGAUAGACACUGUUAGAGUUGUAGACUCUCAUUACACUCUCUCUCUCUCUCUCCCCCCCCCCCCCCCCCCC